rnacentral:rRNA from 1 species
AGCGAACGCUGGCGGCAGGCCUAACACAUGCAAGUCGAGCGGGCCCUUUCGGGGGUCAGCGGCGGACGGGUGAGUAACGCGUGGGAACGUGCCCAUCGGUUCGGAACAACCCAGGGAAACUUGGGCUAAUACCGGAUACGUGCGAGAGCAGAAAGAUUUAUCGCCGAUGGAUCGGCCCGCGUCUGAUUAGCUAGUUGGUGUGGUAACGGCGCACCAAGGCGACGAUCAGUAGCUGGUCNGAGAGGAUGAUCAGCCACAUUGGGACUGAGACACGGCCCAAACUCCUACGGGAGGCAGCAGUGGGGAAUAUUGGACAAUGGGCGCAAGCCUGAUCCAGUCAUGCCGCGUGAGUGAUGAAGGCCCUAGGGUUGUAAAGCUCUUUUGUGCGGGAAGAUAAUGACGGUACCGCAAGAAUAACGCCCCCGGCUAACUACGUGCCAGCCG